rnacentral:rRNA from 1 species
UACGGGGGGGGCAAGCGUUGUUCGGAAUUACUGGGCGUAAAGGGCUCGUAGGCGGCCAACUAAGUCAGACGUGAAAUCCCUCGGCUUAACCGGGGAACUGCGUCUGAUACUGGAUGGCUUGAGUUUGGGAGAGGGAUGCGGAAUUCCAGGUGUAGCGGUGAAAUGCGUAGAUAUCUGGAAGAACACCCGUGGCGAAGGCGGCUCUCUGGGACGGUACUGACGCUGAGACGCGAAAGCGUGGGGAGCAAACAGG